GGGCGUGUAACUCAGUGGUAGAGUGCUCGCUUUGCAUUUCGCAAAACAUGCGAGAAGCCCAGGGUUCGACUCCCUGCUCGUCCA